GCAGACACAUUCCAGCCAAUCAGCAGCAGUCCCUCCCUCCCAGACCCUCCCACCUCCUGGACAGCAUCCAUUUUGAAGCUGCAUUCUUAGUGAGCUGUCCAGGAGGUGGGAGGGUCUGGGAGGGAGGGUCUGCUGCUGAUUGGCUGGAAUGUGUCUG
rnacentral:miRNA from 1 species